AUUGAACGCUGGCGGCAGGCCUAACACAUGCAAGUCGAACGAGUGGCGGACGGGUGAGUAAUGUCUGGGAAACUGCCUGAUGGAGGGGGAUAACUACUGGAAACGGUAGCUAAUACCGCAUACCAUCAGAUGUGCCCAGAUGGGAUUAGCUAGUUGGUGGUGUAACGGCUAACCAAGGCGACGAUCCCUAGCUGGUCUGAGAGGAUGCAACGCUCACCUGUAACUGAGACACGGUCCAGACUCCUACGGGAGGCAUCAGGGGUGAAUAUGGCACAAUGGGCGCUAGCCUGAUGCAGCCAUGCCGCGUGUAUGAAGAAGGCCUUCGGGUUGUAAAGUACGUUCAGCGGUGAGGCGUUACCCGCAGAAGAAGCACCGGCUAACUCCGUGCCAGCCGCCGCGGUAAUUC
rnacentral:rRNA from 1 species